AGAUUGAACGCUGGCGGCAGGCCUAACACAUGCAAGUCGAGCGGUAGAGAGGUGCUUGCACCUCUUGAGAGCGGCGGACGGGUGAGUAAUGCCUAGGAAUCUGCCUAGUGGUGGGGGAUAACGUUCGGAAACGGACGCUAAUACCGCAUACGUCCUACGGGAGAAAGCGGGGGACCUUCGGGCCUCGCGCCAUUAGAUGAGCCUAGGUCGGAUUAGCUAGUUGGUGAGGUAAUGGCUCACCAAGGCGACGAUCCGUAACUGGUCUGAGAGGAUGAUCAGUCACACUGGAACCGAGACACGGUCCAGGCUCCUACGGGGAGCG
rnacentral:rRNA from 1 species